rnacentral:rRNA from 1 species
UAUGCAGUCGACGGUCCUAUUUUGAAUUCUUGAGACUUCGGUUGAUAGUUUUCUGUUUAGGAUAGUGGCAAACGGGUGAGUAAUACGUAGAUAACUUGCCUUGAAGUCGGGAAUAGCUCGUCGAAAGACGGGGUAAUAUCCGAUAGUCUCUAUUCACUUCGUGUGUUUUAGAGUAAAGUUUUUCGCUUCAAGAGAGGUCUGCGUCCUAUCAGCUAGUUGGUGAGGUAAUGGCUCACCAAGGCUAAGACGGGUAGCUGGUGUGAGAGCACGGUCAGCCACCAUGGAACUGAGACACGGUCCAUACUCCUACGGGAGGCAGCAAUUAGGAAUCUUGCGCAAUGGGGGCAACCCUGACGCAGCGACACAGCGUGGAGGAUGAAGGUCUUCGGAUUGUAAACUCCUUUUAUAUGGGAAGAAUAGAUGACUGUACCAUAUGAAUAAGUACCUGCUAACUACGUGCCAGAAGCAUCGGUGAUGCGUAGGGUACGAACGUUAUCCGGAUUUACUGGGCGUAUAGAGAUGCGUAGGCGGUUUGAUAAGUCUUGAGUUAAAGACCUCGGCUCAACCGAGGGAGAGCUUUCGAAACUAUCAGACUUGAGACAUGGAGGGGUGAACGGAAUUCCGAGUGGAGUGGUGAAAUACGUUGAUAUUCGGAGGAACAUCAGUGGCGAAGGUGGUUCACUGGCCAUUGUCUGACGCUAAGGCUCGAAAGCGUGGGUAGCAAAACGGAUUAGAUACCCGUGUAGUCCACGCUGUAAACUAUGGAUGCUAGGUGUUUGG